UAGGGAAUCUUCCACAAUGGACGCAAGUCUGAUGGAGCAACGCCGCGUGAGUGAAGAAGGUUUUCGGAUCGUAAAGCUCUGUUGUUGGUGAAGAAGGAUAGAGGCAGUAACUGGUCUUUAUUUGACGGUAAUCAACCAGAAAGUCACGGCUAACUACGUGCCAGCAGCCGCGGUAGUACGUAGGUGGCAAGCGUUGUCCGGAUUUAUUGGGCGUAAAGCGAGCGCAGGCGGAAUGAUAAGUCUGAUGUGAAAGCCCACGACUCAACCGUGGAACUGCAUCGGAAACUGUCAUUCUUGAGUGCAGAAGAGGAGAGUGGAACUCCAUGUGUAGCGGUGGAAUGCGUAGAUAUAUGGAAGAACACCAGUGGCGAAGGCGGCUCUCUGGUCUGCAACUGACGCUGAGGCUCGAAAGCAUGGGUAGCGAACAGGAUUAGAUACCCUGGUAGUCCAUGCCGUAAACGAUGAGCGCUAGGUGUUGGGGACUUUCCGGUUCUCAGUGCCGCAGCAAACGCAUUAAGCGCUCCGCCUGGGGAGUACGACCGCAAGGUUGAA
rnacentral:rRNA from 1 species